rnacentral:lncRNA from 1 species
GGGACGUCGGGUCGUGUUCUGACAGCUAGCACUCCACUCUUGUUUGCUGCGUGCGUUCGUCGCUUGGCCCGCUUGCUGUUCUCGCAAAAGCGCGGGGCAGAGGAGAGAAAGAAGCCUCUCGUUCUCCGAGAGAGACGCAGAGGCCGCAGUCAGGGCCUGGAUAUACUCGGAGGCUCGGCUUCUCCUCUGGGUGCUCCUUGUUGCUUCCAGGGAAAGUUUAGUCUGGAUCUGAGGCCUCGUGGCGCUCUUCCUGGUUUUUCAAUUUUGGUAAUUCGAGGGAAUGAAUGUCUCAGUGAGGUCUUAAUUGCCGACCCUCUAGAAACGCCAGCGUUUAAGCUUCCACUGUACACCCAGAUCUCAGUGUGUUCAAGGGAAAUGCUGUGCUUUUUUCUUAGUCCUCAGAUUAACUUCUCUUAAAAACAAAACCGUGUUUUGAAGAAAAUGUAUAAUCGCAAAGGAUAACCAAGGACGGUCAUACUAGAAUUUUUGAACAGAGAAUUUUUUAAAUGAAACUAGCAAACGACCUGGGUGGGUUUUUUCCCCCCUCUUUUUGUUUUGACUGUUACCGUCAAUGCUAUCUACCUUGUUCUAAAUACUUCGAAAGCCUCGAGCAACUAAUAAAAUUAGAGCGUUGAAAAAAUGUGACAGCUUUGAUUUCUCUGCUUUUUAAGAGCAUUCAAAUUUAAAUCCAUGAGAUGCUGGAGGGAUAAUGGUCUUAAAAGGAGCACAUUAAUACUGGCUGUUGCCAAGGCACUGUUCUGACAGCUUUACAAGUAAUUACUCACUUAAUCCGCACAACAACUCCUCUAGAAUAUCAUUAUCCUCACUUUAAAGGUGGAGAAAUAGAGUUUGUGGUGAAGUAAAUGGCACCGCUGGAAUCCAAACCCUAAUGAAGCAGAGUCUCUUCUUAACCACUGUCUAUACUAAAGGUAAUUUAAAACAGGGUGCAGACAACAGGAAAGCAACAACUCUGGUUUGGUCACCGUGGUGGUCUUGCCCGGCACAUGGUGGGAGUCCAGCCAGAGCUGAUGGCCUCCUCUUCCCUCCUGACUAUUCAUCUGCUUCCACUCCAGGAGCACCACAGGCAUCUCCCCUGAUGCAGGGUAAAUUGCAGAAGCCGUGGUACCAGCCCGCAUCCAUGACCCCACAGAUAUUCCCCUUCUCCAAGUGGACUGACCCAGGCCUUUUACAAACACAGAAGGAUCUUGUGCAAGAUGAAUUCUAGUACUAGCUACUAAAAGAUCUCUUCACACAAAAGGCAAUAUUCCUGAAUUUGUAUUGGUCCAGGCAUUCGAGAAUCAAGGUGCAUCCGUAGGAAGAAAGAGAGAGAGACCAGUUCUGAAGAGUAUCUGCUGGUGAAUGUUACUUAAAUCUGAACUUUGAGUCAUGAAAAAUAGAAAGAUGUACGUCGUUAUGGUACUGUUUCCAGAUGUUUUCCUGUUUCCAUGGAAGCAGAGUUCAUUUGGCUGGGAUGUUCUGAGCUUUUGCUUCCAGACCUUUGAUGCGGGGGCAUGUUGUCUUCAGCAGAGGCUCUGGCCAAGUCAGAUGCCCACGUGUCUCUGCUUGGUGAAGCCGAAUGCCUCGCCAUGACUCUGGAGAAGCUCUUUAAGUGUCUGAUGCAGUGGGAAGAGCUGAGCCACAGCUUGAUACCAGUGUUGGGCCCCAGAGUCCCCAUAUGCUGCCUCUCAAGGGUGGUAUUCAAAGUGGGUUGUUGUUCUUGUUGUUGUUUUGGUCACAUCCCAGGCGUAACUGCAGUACAACAUCACAGCCAGGAUGCUGACAUUGAUAAUCCUCCUAUCUCAUUCACAUUUCCCCGUUUUACUUGUAAUGUGUGUGUGUGUGUGUGUGUGUGUGUGUGUUUGUAUUUAGUUCUUUGACGUUUUAUCACAUGUGCAGAUUAAUGUAUCUGCUACAGUCAAGAUAUAGAACACCUGAAUCCUUUGUGUUGCUCUUUGGUACCCACCUCCUCCCCAUCCCUCCACCCCAACACCUGGCAACCACUGAGCUAGUCUCCAUACUGCAAAUUUUGUGAUAUCAUUUGUUACAUAGAUGGAAUUGCCUAUUGCAUAGCUUUGGCGGAAUGGCUUUUCAUUUUCCCCCUCAAAACAUAUUUCUUUACAAUUACUACAAGCUGUUGCAUGUAUCAGUAGUUUUCUUUCUUUCUUUCUUUCUUGCUUGCUUCCUUCCUUCCUUCCUUUCUUUUUUUUUUUGGCUGAACCAGUAGUGGCAGGCAGAAGUUCUGGGACCAGGGAUCGAACCCAAGCCAUAGCAGUAACCAAAGCCACAGCAGUGACAAUGCUGUACCCUCAACUCUCUGAGCCAGCAGGACUCUCCUCAAAGUGUGUUUUUUUUUUUUUUCCUUUCUUUUUAGGGCCACACCCACAGCAUAUGGAAGUUCCUGGGCUAGGGGUCAAAUUGGAGCUGCAGCUGCUGGGUUACACCACAGCCACGGCAAUGUGGGAUCCAAGCUGUGUCUGCAACCUGCACCAUGACUCACAACAACACCCAGAUCCUUAACGCACUAAAUAAGUGCAGGGAUCGAACCCUUAUCCUCAUGGAUACUAGUUGGGUUCAUAAUCACUGAGCCACAAUGGGAAGCCCCCAAAGUGGGGUUUUGGAAGAUAGUAGGAUUAUUCUAGGCUCAGAUUAAAGUCAGGUGGGUAAGCAUCAUUGCACAGGGAGGAAAAAGUGUGAGCCAGAUGGUGAAGGCAGGAAAGUUAGAGCCCUCUUUGGGAAGGAGAUGGCGAUAUUGUAGGAACCAGCUUGGGGUUUGUUUGGGAGGGACAGCAGCAGGCUCUCUCCCUGCCUCCUAUCACUUCCCUAUGUCCUUCCUGUGAUUUGGGGGCCUCUGUGGUGCAUGGCCACCUGUAUGCAGGCAGCACCAGCAUCUUGUCCCUCUUGCUCUGUCUCAGGGCUCUCUCCUGGGUCCAGGAGAGCACUCAGCCUGCUUGCAGGAGCAUCUCAGCCCGCAGGCAGCCCCCAGCCCAGGGGAGGAGGGUUGGUGGACCACACCAUGACAUGUGGUCUACACACGUCCUUUGAGGGGUGAGCCCAGUGCCCACAGUGGUAACCAGUGCGAUAACGCUGUUUAACCCUUUCGAUACCCUCACACUUGCCUGGGCUCAUCUUGCAAAGAAGUCACCUGCAUGUGAUUUAUGAGCAUGGAGGAAACUACUGAAGGGUACGCGGUUGUUGGGAUGAUUGCUUGGUGCAGCGUAGGGAAGGUAAGCAGGAGAGGGAAUGGGCAUAAAAUAUACUCAAACCAAACAAAACUACCCAUUAGACACAGCAUGCUGAGUUUUUUGUUUGUUUGUUUUUGUUUUUGCCUUUUUCUUUUUGCCUUUUAGGGCUGCACUUGGAGCAUAUGGAUGUUCCCAGACUAGGAGUUGAACCAGAGCUGUAGCUGUUGGCCUACGCUGCAGCCACAGCAAUGCCAGAUCCGAGCUGAGUCUGUGACCCACACCACAGCUCAUGGCAAUGCUGGAUCUCCAAUCCAGUGAGCGAAGCCAGGGAUCGAACCUGCAUCCCCAUGGAUACUAGUUGAAUUCAUUUCUGCUGGACCGCGACGGGAACUCCCACAUGCUGGGUUCUUUGAUAGACAAUCUGUAAGGAAAAGAGAAAGGUAGAGAGGAAACCUAUGCCGAGAAGAAAUGAAGACUUCUCAAAAAACUUUUUAAUUAAAAAAAAUUAUUGAUUUAUUUAUUUUUGGCCAUGCCUGAGGCACGUGGAAGGUCCUGGGCCAGGGAUUGAACCUUGCACCACAGCAGUGACAACAUCAGAUUCUUAACUGCUAGGCCACCAGGGAACUCUCAAAAUUUUUUUUAAAUGGACCAGACCAAGCUAUAGUGUUUAGGAUUUCAUAGUUGAGUGAUAAGACCAUAAAGAAACACAAAGAAGGGAGUAUCACUGAAGUCACAAUAGUGAUUACUUUUUUUAAAGGGAGACAGGUAGUGGCUAUCAUGGGACAUUUGAUGGAAAUUUCUAAGCUGCAAAGUUCUAUUUUUUUGAUCUGGGUGGUAGUUAUAAUAAUUCAUUGAAGAGUACAUUUAUUUUGAAUAGUUUUUCUGCAUUUGUAUUCUAUUUUACUUUGCAAAAGAAAGAUAAAAAACCCUGGUAACUAUGAUAUAAACAAUCUGUGCAUUUAUGCAAAAUUACCUGUAUGGGUAUAGAAAAUUACCCUGGCAGCUAAAGAGAAUGUUCCAGAAUUAGGUUGAGGACUCUCCCUUUUCAAAUCCAUGAUGCCUCCAAGCAUCAGGCUGGGCAGCUUUCCUACCUAACUUUGUUCAGACAGAUGAAGGCAGGAAGGAUUAGUUCUGAUCAUGCCAGCUGGAUGCAUGAGUAACAUUCUGCCUGGUAAUUAUUUUUGACAUUUGACAGUUCUAGGCGCAACCUUUUGCAGCUCUGAAAUGUUGGCAGUGCCUUUAUUUUUGAAGGGUUCAUAUUUUCCUAUAAGUAACCAAGUAUUCACAAGAUACUUCUUUGGGUGCCUUGUUUCAAAUUAGGUUCGAGAGUUUUGGAAAGCCACAAAUCCAGAGGGACGCUUGAAGUUUCAGGAAAGUACCCAUCACUUAGCAACCACCACCACUACAACAAAAGUGUGCCUUUUAAGUGAUUUUUCAAAGCUUGUCCCUAUGUAUAGAAUGGGGGCUUAUAAUCUUUUUUUUCUUUUUCUUUUUCUUUCUUUCUUUUUUUUUGGGGGGGGCAUGCUUAUGGCUUGAGGAAGUGCUUGGGCUAGGGAUUGGAACUUUGCCACAGCAGUGACAAUGCCAGGUCCUUCACCGCUAGGCCACCAGGGAACUUUACAAUCUUUCAGAGUAGAUACCAGGUAACUCCCAGGUAUCUCCUCCACCUAUCCAUCACAAUGCUGAAAUUCCAAAUCUUAUAUUAUUCCUUUGGCUAGUGAGUUUAGAUGUGUAAAUAUCCCUAGGAGACGCAACCAGGUUAAGAGGGUUAUGAGACAUUAGUGCUAUGGUGAAAAGAAUGCACUGGAGAAAGGGAUUCUGAUUUGGAGAGAAUAGGGAAGGGACAUUGUAAAGGACGGGGAAUUUGCUCAUAAGAAAAAGCAGGCAAAGAAAAGGCACUGAGUGUCUGCUGCAGUGACAGGUAUGGAGAUUUUAUCAAUCAAAUUCUUUUGGUUUCAGGUGACAGAAAACCAAAACCAAUUGGGUUUAUGGAAAAAAAGGGAGCUCCAAUGGCUCAUAUAAUUUAAAAGUCUCAUGGUAGAUUUAGGGUGAGGUUUCAGGCAUGGCUUGAUCCAGGGGUUGAAACAAUCCUUUGAAAACUUGGUCUUCUGUGCUCUUGGACCUGCUUUCUUCACUUUUGGAUUCCCUUUCAGCAGGCUCUCUGUUCUUGUCAUCUCCCAAGUGUCAUACAGCAGGUUCUGAUCACUCAGCAAAAACUGUGGGAUUAGCUCUAAUUGGCUCUGAUUGGCCACACACUCAUGUUGAGGUCAAUCAUGGUGGCCACCAGAGGCAACCCUCUGGUGGACCAUACUGGAGUCAUACGCUUUCUCCUGGAGCCAGAGGUGAGUCAGUUCCAUUGGUUCACCUGCAGUGGGGAAAGGCAGAGGGUCGAAGAGCCAGACGCAGAUCUUGAGAUGUGGACGGGCACGUCCUCCUCUUCAGUCCCUGUGCGUCCCAGUCCCGAGUGGCUGUGAAAUCAAGUUGGUGGCUCAUGCCAGCAUCAGAAAAUUAUAGUAAGAGAAUUAAAUAGAACAGAGGUAUAUGAUUCAGUUAUAUAGGGGUAUAUCUGUGGAUAUAGACACGUGUGUGUAACUGUAUACGCAUGUAUGUAUCAAUGUGUGGAUAAAUAUGUGUAAACAUAUGUCCCUCCAGGGAACAUGGUGAGAAGGUGUAAAAAUGCUGCUCCUGGGAUCCUAUGUGCUGGCAACGUGAACUGGGGUUGCCCUUCCCUGUGUUUCUCCCCAUGGGCUGCUGCCCCAGCUCGGGUGCCCUCUCCCCUGCACUCCCCCACUUUCUCCUCGUCUUCCUGAUCUGGCUCAAAUGUCACUUUCUCCACGAAGACUUCAUAUUCUGAUCCCCCACCCCUGGGAGUACCGAGCUCUCCUCUGUGCCUGCAGAGAGGCUGAUCUGUGCCUUGCCCAGCUGUGGACACCUGUUAACUUGCUGGCCUGAGGAAAGGGCAGAGCUGUGCCAUUCAGCACGGUCACCAUCAACCUCUGGUAGCCGCUGAGCACUUGAAAUCUGACUGGUCCAAACUGAGAUAUUCUGUAAAUGUAAAACAUGCAGCAGGCUUCGAAGAGGAAAUAAAAA